CAUUGGGCCCCACGCAAAAGGAGUUUUAUGAACUCCGCCAGGCCCGGAAGGGAGCAACGGUAAUAAAAUGAUUUUGUGCCGUGGAUUUAGCCUAAUGGCC
rnacentral:SRP_RNA from 2 species